GAUGAAGAACGUAGCGAAAUGCGAUACUUGGUGUGAAUUGCAGAAUCCCGUGAACCAUCGAGUCUUUGAACGCAAGUUGCGCCCGAAGCCACUAGGCCGAGGGCACGCCUGCCUGGGCGUCACACGCCGUUGCCCCCCCAUCUACUCCUUCGGGAUUGCGGGGGGGCGGAUGAUGGCCUCCCGUGCGCCUAGCCGCGCGGUUGGCAUAAAUACCAAGUCCUCGGCGACGCACGCCACGACAAUCGGUGGUUGCGAAACCUCGUUUGCCCGUCGUGUGCGUUCGUCGCGCAUCGAGGGCUCGAAAAAAUGCUCGGCUCCGGCUGGGCUUUCAACGCGACCCCAGGUCAGGCGGGGUUACCCGCUGAAUUUAAGCAUAUCAAUAAGCGGAGGA
rnacentral:misc_RNA from 1 species